rnacentral:rRNA from 1 species
CCCUUAGAUGUUCUGGGCCGCACGCGCGCUACACUGAUGAAUGCAACGAGCUCUACCCUUGACCGAAAGGCCCGGGUAAACUUGUGAAACUUCAUCGUGAUGGGGAUAGAUUAUUGCAAUUAUUAAUCUUCAACGAGGAAUUCCUAGUAAGCGCGAGUCAUCAGCUCGCGUUGAUUACGUCCCUGCCCUUUGUACACACCGCCCGUCGCUCCUACCGAUUGAAUGGUCCGGUGAAAUCUUCGGAUUGCUGACCAAGAUCCAGCAAUGGAGCUUGGUUGCGAGAAGUUGAUUAGACCUUAUUAUUUAGAGGAAGGAGGAGUCGUAACA